CAUUAAUUGUGACGGAAAUCCUGGAGCACUCGGGGUAAUUCUCUUCCGCUCCCCCGGUGUUUUACGUCACCCCAAAAUGUGCAGUGUCCACCUCCCUUGUGGGCCCACAAGGUAAAGAACCAAUCCAUGGACUCCCAGCUCACCAGGAAUUGUGGCCAGAGCUGUUCUGUGUAGCCUCCAGUCCCAUUCCCAGCUGUCCUUGGGGUGCUUUCCCAGAAAUCCUUUUGUCCUGGAAAGUCUCAAGAUGAAAGAAUCUCCCAGGCUGUAAUCACAGUGCCCAGCCCCAGGAAUUCCAAAAUUGCCCUAAAUGUGGAGGAAAACAAUUAUAGCAAUUGGGCUGCUGAUGUACUUCCCAAAUUUGCCCCGUGACGAAGGGAAGCUCACGGAGAACUGCUCCGACUUCCACCAUGGGAAUAUAAAAAUGCUCCCAACCCCAGCGCUCCUCACACAGCUCCUCUGGGUUUGCUCUUCCCACUGAUCUCGGUUUGCCUCCACCCCUCCACCCCUCCAUCCCAAGAUGUCCUACUGCUGCUACUCCCCCUGCUACACCCUGUGCUGCUCCCCCUGCUACCGGACCUACAGCUGCUGCAGCCCCUGCUACUCCCUGAGCUGCUACCGCCGCUCCUACGGCACCUGCUGCAACUACAGGACCUGCACCACGCGCUACUACUACCCCUCGUGCUGCUCCUACUCCUGCUGCUACCCCUGCUGCUGCUAAUCCCAUGGAAAAAUGCCCACAACCGGAUCUGCACCAACUGAAGACCAAUGGCUGAGCCCACGGCUGCUGUUUGCACAAGUGCUGAGCCCCCAGGAUGAAGCUGCUACAAAUGGGGGCUUUGCUGUGCUCUAAAACCUCUUGGAAUUUCUGCUUUUGCUGUUCUCUCUGUCUGCUCCUUCCUGUCUUUCUCCACGCUCCUGAUAUUCCGCAUUGAAAGCCUCCCACAGCCCCUUCGGCAGCAGGAGGGAUGAUCUGCAAUUUAUGUGGAACUUCUCAGGGUUGCUGCAAUGGGGCUGAAGGACCUCUGUGAAAUCAGAUUUGGAGUCAUCUGCAUUUUCAAUAAGCGCUUCCAGCAGGGUGCUGCAGCCCUGGGUAAGGAAGAUUUACAACUGUCUCGCCUUUGAUCUGGAUUUACGAGGACCUGAAGGAUGAACAACAUGGCUUCAACGUGUUCUGGAGUGCAGUGACUCAUCUCCCAGGGCUGCAUCCAGGAUCCCAAAACUAUAAUCUUUCUGUAUCUCUGCCAGCUCUUUUUCUUAUUCUAUUAAAUACUUCCUGCAUUUAAAAAAC